GUUAGCUGUGUGCUAGGCUUCACCUCAGCUAACUGGAGCUCUGUGUUUGUGCUGCUGGAGCAAUUUUGAUGACAUUAUCUGAUCAAUAAUUUGGCUGCUGUGCGAACAGACUGUCCAAGAGCUCAGGUCCAGUGUUGCCUCGCGGCCUGCUGGGGAGUUUCACAACAGCGUUUGCUCUCAGGGUAACUCCUCACACUGAGGUUUCAGCUUUGGCAUGUCACCUGAGUUUAGAUCACAUCUUCUACUAAAACUGCAGUUUGCAUCAGGCUGUAAACGUGUUUCUUUCUGCUGUAAAGUUUGACUUUUUAACCUGUGAGUCUAUGAAGACUGACUCACUGCUGGAGCCUCAAGUGGACGUUAAAGGAACUGCAGUUUUUUAUUUUCAGUCACCUCAAUUUAGUUUUUUGUGAUAAAGUUGAAGAAUUUCAGCAGAAUCAUAGAUUUACAGAAUUAUAAAUUUCAGUGUUUUCUACCACUGAAUAUUAGCCUCGCAGACACGUCUCACUCUGAUUCUGAAUGUUAGUCGUUUUAAAAGUGACGAUCAGAGGGACGAAGUUUGAUCUGGAAAAAGUAAAAUAGUUUUGUCAGAUUUCCUGCAUCGUUUUGUUGAUCUUUUGGAAACUGCUGACUGAACCGUCCUGGAGGACAGCUUGUUGUUGUCUUAUUUUAUGCAAAUAAUGUGAGUGUGUGCGUUAUGGUGUGUGGUGAAUUGGACCUAAACGCAGAUGUCUGACACCAACUGCACAAACAAAAAAAAAACAACCUUUAUUCUGGUGGAAAUUGAAUUUCAUGAAAAAUCCAAAGAACUCUGUCUUCCUCCCAGUUUAUUUGUUUUUAUUAUGAAGCACUUUGUUUUUAAACUUGCUAAAUAAAUAAAAUGACCUUUAUAUAUUGAUUUUAUUGUCUCUGAUCAACCUGAUCAUGAACGAGUGGUUCUAAAAUACUUUUACUGAUUCUCAGUUUUUUGUACACUUGUGUGCUUUAUACACAUUAUAAACAUUUUAGAGGACAAUGAUAGUAACUAUAAGAGCCUCUGAUGAUAAUGUUUUAUAAUUCAUUGAGUCAGAAAAGCACAUAGAUGAGAUCCUCACCUGGUCUCCUCACCAGAAAUCAUCAUCCUGCUUUAAAGA